CAGUCGCCGCGGUAAUACGAAGGGUGCAAGCGUUAAUCGGAAUUACUGGGCGUAAAGCGUGCGUAGGCGGUUUGUUAAGUCUGCUGUGAAAUCCCCGGGCUCAACCUGGGAAUGGCAGUGGAUACUGGCAAGCUAGAGUGUGUCAGAGGAUGGUGGAAUUCCCGGUGUAGCGGUGAAAUGCGUAAAGAUCGGGAGGAACAUCAGUGGCGAAGGCGGCCAUCUGGGACAACACUGACGCUGAGGCACGAAAGCGUGGGGAGCAAACAGGAUUAGAGACCCCCGUAGUCCCUGUCUCUUAUAC
rnacentral:rRNA from 1 species